rnacentral:lncRNA from 1 species
CUUGCCUCAUUAGCCGUCUCCUGCUGCUUUACUCUGUCAGGAAGCACCACUGUGACUGUCUGGAUUCCUGGGGAAGGUUUGUCUUAGAGGUAGCUGGUCUUGGAAGGAUCUCAAGAGAGAAUGAGAAGAAUUCUCAACAAAAACAAUCACUAUGACCAAUUCAGAGAUGUCUCAUUGUUUCACAAUCUAUGGUAAACAUUGUUACCUGGACUUUUAGAGGAACAUGAGAGAAGAAAUUACAGAAAUAAUAUAUGCUAGCAAAAAGAUGUGUUUUUUGUCCAUAGAAUAUUCAUCAUGGACCUUUGAACAUUUCUUCUCACAGUGUGUAUAUCUUGAAUAUACACUGAAGACUCAAAGGUUGCCUGAUACAGUACUGAGAAUGGAUGAAAAUUUGUGUGCUUAUUCAGGCAUUGAAAUUAAGAUCCUAAAAAGAAGCCUUCUUCACAUAGCAGAAAAUGACUGCUUCUGAGAAUCGGUAUUCUGCAUGCCCUGGAUUUACAAGUCAUAUUAAAAGAAUCUUGACCCUGGGUCUCUGAAUGUUUUCAGAAUGAGCAUUGCAGAUUCUGGUGUCCAUUUUUAUUAUUUCCACCUAUGAUUGUUAGCUUCAGUAAAAAGAAUUUUCAGAAUAAGAUUUUAAUAGUAAUAAUUAG